CGGAAAGGAGAAGUACGGGACGGCACUCACUGUUGCUUUCGGGGCGUCCCGGUGAACAGGUCCGGGAGCGUGGCAGGAACCCGCCCAGAGGAACCCUCACCAGGCGCCCUGGUGGACACACAGGACCAUGAUGCUCCGCGGCGCAGCGCGGAAGAGCCCCGAAUGGGAGCCACGGCGGCUAGGACGGAGGACCUCGGUACACUCACGGGAGGGAAGAGUCAGCCACAAAAAUUAACCACCGCCAGCCAUGCCAAACGCAGCUCUAAUACGAAGCUUAAAGCGGUACCUUCUGUCUGUGACUUCAUCACUCCCGACCAGGGUCUUGGGAUACCUGGUAGGCAAGAAGUUCAAGGUGGAUGUAAUAAGCAGGAAGCCUCUAAGCUAUCUAAUUUACAGCCUCCCUGGGGAUCUUCCUUAGCCCUGGAGAAGACAGGAGACAUGAUGGAGAGACCGGCUUAUUGCUUUUCUAAUGUCCCCCCAACUGGGCUGGGGCUCGGAUGGAAGUGUCUGUGUCCAUUCACACACGUGCUCUCCCUGUGACCUAAACUUAGGUGGAAGUGAUAACUCAGGACACUGCCCAGCUAGGCGUGGGGGUACAGGUGCCUAUGUGGGCAGCGAUACCAGCGAUCUCAUCCCUUCUCACGUGAAAUCACUCCAUGCUGCCAAGGCUCCGGCCCUCUGGGAUCCAUCUGCUCACCUCAGCCGUGUGGACAAGCCACUGUCUUAAUCUUCCACAUCCCUAAUCUCAGACAUCUUAUCCACUGGGGAACUCCCUACAUUAGAAACAAACUGGGGCUGGGAACAGAAGUAACAUGUGUAGGACUGACCCCUUGUGCUUAGCAAGCACUCGGGAAUGGCCCCGUUUCGUGGACUGGCAAACUGACCUUACCUGUCCAAGGUCGUGGAGCAGGGAAGUGGAAAACCUCUGGGCCUGGGCUCUCCAUACCGACUCCCCAGCCAGCCUGUGUGGCGGACCUGUGUCGUGUAUUCAGGGCCUCCUAAAAGUAUCUGUUGCUUCUCCAGGCUGCACACUCUGGCUGGGUGCUCAGCAUGCAGGAUUCUCAGAGGCCUGGCCUCUGUUCUCUCUGGUCACUGGCAGGUCAUGUGCAAACCCCGUGGCGGUGUGACUUGAUUUUCCAGAGAUUGGGGGUGGAAGCGAACACGUGUCGGCCCCGUGCCCAUGUUGAAAUGGGUCCAUCCACGUAAAGACAGGGAGCCGAGUCCCUGAUAACCCAGGAUGGAUGUGUAAUGUAAGAAUUACACACUAAAAAAAAAAACUUUCCUGGAUCAAAUCCAGGGCCCUGUGCAUGUAUGAGCAACAGCUCUACCACUGAGCUGCACACACAGCCCCGAAAUAAACGUUUGCUGACUCAAACAGUACCCAACACGCCUCCAAAGCCUGAGUUGCUUCCUCACAACGGGGCUACUAAUUUCCACCUUGUGCAGUGGCUGUUAGUUCCUGACAUGCUGCCCUCCUCCUCCUCCCACUGGAAGAGGCCGACAAGAACCCUAAGAGCAAUUCAUUUGUAAUGUUGAUAAGUCGCUUAUAAUCCACAUCAUGAUUGUAGGAAAAACCGGAUUCCUGGAACAAAAGACAAACUUGCUGGCUGGGGUGGGACCGGCCCCACUCUUGACCAUACAAAGUCACACGGGAUGGUUCUUCCCCCAGGUCACAUGGGUUCCACAUUCUAAGAGCUGGGGAGCAGGGGCGACGAACUAGUUCAGCCCUUGUCUAAACUCUGAUGGUGAUGCUGGCUGAAUCGUUAGAAAGCUACAAUGAAUAGCUUGUGCCACACAGUAAAUACUCCCAGGUAACUGCAGAUAUGUUAUUUUUCAGACACUUGUUUUAGACAUGUGUGGACACCAUCAACUCAGAGCUCAUCAGAAGGUGGGAGGGAAAGUGAAAUGGGGCGGGGGGAGAGGGAGGAGGGGGGAGGGCGGUACAGCAGGGGAGAGGCGUGGGAUGAGCAGAGUCUGGGCCUGCCUGGAGGCUGUUCUUUGG
ensembl:lincRNA